GACGAACGCUGGCGGCGUGCUUAACACAUGCAAGUCGAACGGAAAGGCCCUGCUUUUGUGGGGUGCUCGAGUGGCGAACGGGUGAGUAACACGUGAGUAACCUGCCCUUGACUUUGGGAUAACUUCAGGAAACUGGGGCUAAUACCAGAUAGGAGCUCCUGCUGCAUGGUGGGGGUUGGAAAGUUUCGGCGGUUGGGGAUGGACUCGCGGCUUAUCAGCUUGUUGGUGGGGUAGUGGCUUACCAAGGCUUUGACGGGUAGCCGGCCUGAGAGGGUGACCGGCCACAUUGGGACUGAGAUACGGCCCAGACUCCUACGGGAGGCAGCAGUGGGGAAUAUUGCACAAUGGGCGGAAGCCUGAUGCAGCAACGCCGCGUGCGGGAUGACGGCCUUCGGGUUGUAAACCGCUUUCGCCUGUGACGAAGCGUGAGUGACGGUAAUGGGUAAAGAAGCACCGGCUAACUACGCG
rnacentral:rRNA from 1 species